rnacentral:tRNA from 2 species
CGGGGUGUAGCUCAGCCUGGUAGAGCACCUGGUUUGGGGCCAGGAGGUCGCCGGUUCAAAUCCGGCCACCCCGACCA